UGCAUUCACUAGUGUAAGUCGCUCUGGAUAAGAGCGUCUGCUAAAUGACAAAAA
rfam:Salmo salar isolate Sally breed double haploid chromosome ssa06, whole genome shotgun sequence.